rnacentral:rRNA from 1 species
UCAGCAAUGCCGCGUGUGUGAAGAAGGCCUUCGGGUUGUAAAGCACUUUUGUCCGGAAAGAAAUCGCGCUGGUUAAUACCUGGCGUGGAUGACGGUACCGGAAGAAUAAGCACCGGCUAACUACGUGCCAGCAGCCGCGGUAAUACGUAGGGUGCGAGCGUUAAUCGGAAUUACUGGGCGUAAAGCGUGCGCAGGCGGUUUUGUAAGACAGGCGUGAAAUCCCCGGGCUUAACCUGGGAAUUGCGCUUGUGACUGCAAGGCUAGAGUGCGUCAGAGGGGGGUAGAAUUCCACGUGUAGCAGUGAAAUGCGUAGAGAUGUGGAGGAAUACCGAUGGCGAAGGCAGCCCCCUGGGACGUGACUGACGCUCAUGCACGAAAGCGUGGGGAGCAAACAGGAUUAGAUACCCUGGUAGUCCACGCCCUAAACGAUGUCAACUAGUUGUUGGGGAUUCAUUUUCUCAGUAACGUAGCUAACGCGUGAAGUUGACCGCCUGGGGAGUACGGUCGCAAGAUUAAAACUCAAAUGAAUUGACGGA